rnacentral:rRNA from 1 species
GACUGUGCGAAGGUAGCAUAAUAAUUUGCCUUUUAAUUGGAGGAUGGAAUGAAUGGUUAGACGAAGAUAAAGCUGUCUCAUAUGUAUUUAUUAAAAAUUGAUUUUUAGGUUAAAAAGCCUAAAUUGCAUUAAAGGACGAGAAGACCCUAUUAAGCUUAAAAAAAUAUUAUAAUUAUCACUAUGAUAUUAAAUGUGACGUUAAUAAUAAUAUUUUAGUUGGGGCGACUUGGGAGUAGAAAAAACCUCCUUUAGGUAAGAUAAAAUGUUAUUUAUGGUCCAAAAGAUUUUGAGAUAAGAACAAGUUACUAUAGGGAUAACAGCGUAAUUUUAUUUGAGAGUUCUAAUCGAAAAUAGAGUUUGCGACCUCGAUGUUGGAUUAAGAAGUAGUGAAGGUUGCAGAA